GUCUAAUGCGUGCCAGGGUCUGUGGCUCACGUGAAAGCUCCCCUGGACGCGCUGAAGAUAAGCAGCUGCUGCUUCAAGAACCGCAAUUGCUAAAACCAUCAAUAUACAGAUGAAUGGAAGCAGUAAUAGUGGCAUUCCUAGCUUCUCUGUCAAAAUAUACCAGCAGCGGUGAAAGAGAAGGGCAUUGCAGGCAGCUCUGAAGUAACCACCUGGACACAGGCAUGAAAGCAGUGAAGUGUGGAAGGAUGCUGAGGGAAGAAUAUUGUGAAAAUUGAAGUUUAGUCCUUUUCAGUUCCAGGAAUAACCUUUGUUCAAGCUCUUGAUGAAACUCCAGGGGAGUCACAGUGCAGAAGGAAAAGCAGCCCAGAAUUUUCUAGGUCAACUUAUAAUUGAACUCUUCAAAGAAAAUGAAAAUAACAAGAAUGGUUCCUCACAUAGCUAAGACUCAGAUGAAGAUUUUUCUUGCUAAUGUCCCUCAGAACUGUUACGGAAAAUCACUAAACUGGCUUCUGACCAUGUUUUCUGAUAUAGAACAAAAUAUAAUUGACAGUAUUUUCUUUACUGCUGAUGGUGAAAAUAUUGAUGUCUAAAUGUUUAUACUUAGGAAAAAUACGAGAUGAGAG